rnacentral:rRNA from 1 species
CCUACGGGUGGCUGCAGUGGGGAAUAUUGGACAAUGGGCGCAAGCCUGAUCCAGCAAUGCCGCGUGAGUGAUGAAGGCCCUCGGGUCGUAAAGCUCUUUUACCAGGGAUGAUAAUGACAGUACCUGGAGAAUAAGCUCCGGCUAACUCCGUGCCACCAGCCGCGGUAAUACGGAGGGAGCUAGCGUUGUUCGGAAUUACUGGGCGUAAAGCGCACGUAGGCGGCUACUCAAGUCAGAGGUGAAAGCCCGGGGCUCAACCCCGGAACUGCCUUUGAAACUAGGUGGCUAGAAGCUUGGAGAGGCGAGUGGAAUUCCGAGUGUAGAGGUGAAAUUCGUAGAGAUUCGGAAGAACACCAGUGGCGAAGGCGACUCGCUGGACAAGUAUUGACGCUGAGGUGCGAAAGCGUGGGGAGCAAACAGGAUUAGAUACCCCAGUAGUC